CAUGCAAGUCGAGGGGCAGCGGGAUUGAAGCUUGCUUCAAUUGCCGGCGACCGGCGCACGGGUGAGUAACGCGUAUCCAACCUUCCGUACACUCAGGGAUAGCCUUUCGAAAGAAAGAUUAAUACCUGAUGGUAUGAUGAAAUUGCAUGAUAGCAUCAUUAAAGAUUUAUCGGUGUACGAUGGGGAUGCGUUCCAUUAGGUAGUAGGCGGGGUAACGGCCCACCUAGCCUACGAUGGAUAGGGGUUCUGAGAGGAAGGUCCCCCACAUUGGAACUGAGACACGGUCCAAACUCCUACGGGAGGCAGCAGUGAGGAAUAUUGGUCAAUGGACGAGAGUCUGAACCAGCCAAGUAGCGUGAAGGAUGAAGGUCCUACGGAUUGUAAACUUCUUUUAUAAGGGAAUAAAACCUCCCACGUGUGGGAGCUUGUAUGUACCUUAUGAAUAAGCAUCGGCUAACUCCGUGCCAGCAGCCGCGGUAAUACGGAGGAUGCGAGCGUUAUCCGGAUUUAUUGGGUUUAAAGGGAGCGCAGACGGGUCGUUAAGUCAGCUGUGAAAGUUUGGGGCUCAACCUUAAAAUUGCAGUUGAUACUGGCGUCCUUGAGUGCGGUUGAGGUGUGCGGAAUUCGUGGUGUAGCGGUGAAAUGCUUAGAUAUCACGAAGAACUCCGAUUGCGAAGGCAGCACACUAAGCCGUAACUGACGUUCAUGCUCGAAAGUGUGGGUAUCAAACAGGAUUAGAUACCCUGGUAGUCCACACGGUAAACGAUGGAUACUCGCUGUUGGCGAUAUACGGUCAGCGGCUUAGCGAAAGCGUUAAGUAUCCCACCUGGGGAGUACGCCGGCAACGGUGAAACUCAAAGGAAUUGACGGGGGCCCGCACAAGCGGAGGAACAUGUGGUUUAAUUCGAUGAUACGCGAGGAACCUUACCCGG
rnacentral:rRNA from 1 species